GGCUUUGGUGGAGAAAUCGCCGCUUUCGGCUACAGCUACAGCGUUUGGGCGGUUUCCUUUCGGGGAGGGUGGUGUUUCUGGUGCCCUCACGCAAGGUCGCUUGUUACAGAAUCACGGAGUUGUUAGGGUUGGACUGGACUCUGGAGACGCCGACCCAGCCACCCUGGCAAGGCAGAGUCACCUGGAGCAGGUGACACGGGAACGCGUCCAGAUUUCCAUAUGCCUUGGCAUCCUACCCACCUGACUGAAAAAGCUGUGUCUUGCACUUUGGCAGGAGCCAGAGGAAUGCUUGGUUACAUGGGAACAGGCUCCAUGGAAUUGCAGAUGGAGGCUCCAGUCUACAAAGCAUUAAACCUUGUGGAUGGUUGAUCAGGAUUAUAUGUUCUGAUAUUAUGUUUCUACCAGCUGAGAAGCCCUUUAUCAGGUCAGUGAUGGUAAGGAGAACCUUGCAGGAACCUAAGGCACUUAGAUCUCUUCCUUUGCACCUCAAAACUCCUUAAAUCAAAACCUGUUUUUGUUCUGCUGUAUUUUAUCUCCCCCUUUCAAUUCUACAAGUAAGAAAAGCUGUGUAUGGAUUUUCAAUUAAGAUAUAUGCAAAGGAGAUAAAAAAUGAUGUGAUUGAAUCGACAGGUAAAAAGUGUGUCAGUGUCACACAAGAAAUAUGAAUCAUGCAACUGUUUUCAAUGUAUAUAUAAUGGUACAAGUGACAGCAGAAGUUGGUUGAAAGAUGGAAAUUACCUUAAUUUCAGUUGCCAGGACAAAUAGGAACAAAGGAAAAACACAUCAUACAGUUCUUGCCCUUCUGAAGAGCACUCAGCAAGGCAUUCAACAUUUAUUUCACUCUUGUCCAGAAAAACUGCUUCUCGAGAAGCCUUCAUUUUCUAGCAGGGCUCUGCUUUGUCUUGGAGCAUCAUAUUUAAAAAAGAAGUCUAAUACAGAACUGAGGAAACGAUACUUCUAGGGACCUCCCAUUCAAUUUUCUUUCUCUGAAAAUUCAGUUAGACUUCUGUCAGCUGAAGGUACAAAUUGUUCAUCAGUUUAUUUCAUUUUCAAACGGAACAUUUGAAAGAGCAGCUAGGAGGAGUUGUCUGCUCACUUUGCAGUCAGUGGAGGGAGAGAGAGGCAGUGGCAGGAGUCACAUCAGCCCCCAGUCUGUGUUCUACCAGUCUCCUCCCCAGACAGAGGCAGCAGAAGCAGAGACAGCCCCUUUAAGAAGAUUCCUGGCAUUUACAUAGAAAGCUGAGGUUAAUCUCAUCUUAUUUGGAAAAGACAAGGGGGUUGCAAUAGAGAGAAGCCCCCUACCAUAAG